GCCUUCGUGGUGUAGUGGUCAACACUCUCGACCCGUAACCGAGAGGUCCGUGGUUCGAUUCCCAGUGAAGGCU
rnacentral:tRNA from 1 species